rnacentral:rRNA from 1 species
ACCUGCGGAAGGAUCAUUACUGAGUGAGGGCCCUCUGGGUCCAACCUCCCACCCGUGUUUAUUUGUACCUUGUUGCUUCGGCAGGCCCGCCUCACGGCCGCCGGGGGGCUUCUGCCCCCGGGCCCGCGCCUGCCGGAGACAAUCUUGAACGCUGUCUGAAGAAUGCAGUCUGAGCGAUUAGCAAAAUUAGUUAAAACUUUCAACAACGGAUCUCUUGGUUCCGGCAUCGAUGAAGAACGCAGCGAAAUGCGAUAAUUAAUGUGAAUUGCAGAAUUCAGUGAAUCAUCGAGUCUUUGAACGCACAUUGCGCCCCCUGGUAUUCCGGGGGGCAUGCCUGUCCGAGCGUCAUUGCUGCCCUCAAGCCCGGCUUGUGUGUUGGGCCCUGUUCCCCCGGGAACAGGCCCGAAAGGCAGUGGCGGCACCGCGUCCGAUCCUCGAGCGUAUGGGGCUUUGUCACCCGCUCUGUAGGCCCGGCCGGCGCUUGCCGACCCCAUCAAUCUUUUUUCAGGUUGACCUCGGAUCAGGUAGGGAUACCCGCUGAACUUAAGCAUAUCA